AAAUUAUGUAGAAUUCUUACCACAAAAAGGUCAUCUUCACUGUUAAUUCUUAUUUUAUCUGGGGUUAACCCAAAAUGCUUAUUUGUUUCAAAUUUGAUAAUAAAGAUACUGGACAGUCUGGUAACCCACUUCCCUGAUUCAUGUCCAUUCUGAACUUUCAAAAACAAAGAAUAGUAUUAAGAAACUUGACAGCAAAUAACCUUCAAACCUGAAAUACAGCAAGUUAAAACAUUUGAAAGGGACAGGCACAAAUAAAAUGUGAAUUCAAUAUCUUAGUCUGUUCACAGAUGAUGGGUAUCGUACCUUAACAAAUUCUAUGUGAAAUUUUAGGCAGAAUGCAGAAUGCUGAACCAACCUUCAGUAAGGAUCAAUAUUUUAAUUUACACUGGGCAUUUACAUGGUGGGUGAGAUAAAUGGCUGGAUAUUUCCAUUUUCCUGAUAUAGGAACCAUCUCAAAAUGGCUGGAGCAGGCCACGGAGGGGCCAUCAGUCUGUCUGACUGCACAAACUUCAGGCAUUGCAAUCUGGCAUCACUACAUGGAGAGUGCUGCCCACCCUCUGCGUACAUUACACCUUCUUCUUCCUCUGCACUAACUGUGAACUUUUUAACCAUGGAAGCCUAAGCCUUCUGGAAAGCAGGUGGCAGCAAGUUCCUUAUCUCUAGCCAGCUCUCCGGUAGAACUUGCAAGACACUUGAAACCCACAAGGCCUCAAUGGGCUGAGGAAGAGAGUAGACUUACUGCUUGCCCCACAUGCUGCCCUGCUGUGCUAGUAAGAAGUAAAAGCCUCGCUGCAGACUUGCUGAGCAAUUUCUCAUGAUCUCAUUUGCCAGCCAGUACCAAAUUGUUGGGCUGCUGUGGCAGGUGCUAGUUAUGUACAGUCAACUGACUGCAGGAGUCAUCUGAUUGUAACUAAAUUCAUAAAGAAAGAAGGAAGAAGGAGAGAAAAAAUGGAGGGAAAAAUGCAUUGAAAAAUAUUCCAUACUUACAGGAGCUCAAACAAGAAAAGUUUCUGUGAUUAGCAUGCUAACAAAGCUCAGCAUCACAGAAGCUAGCAGAUGGUUACCCUACAUGCACUCACCAGUUUAUGCCAUGGAGAACAGUGAAGCUAUGGGGCUGGAAUGGCUAGUACAUAAAAAUUUAAAAAGUGUGUGUAACUUGAAAACAUAAACAUUGUUUUUCAUGUGCUCAAUCCCAGAGAAAAUGUAUGCAGCGGUUUUGUUAUUUCUGUGUCUGUGUGUGUAUGUGUUUGUAAGUUUGGAUGCAUGUAACAGCUUUUAUCUUUCCAAUGUACAAAAUGCUUUCUUUCCUUCUUACUAACAGUGACACUGCAGAUAAUUAUUUUACUUCUACUUUUCUUGAAAUCAUACUGAGUUUCUGAAGUACAUUUUAAUACACAAUGUGGAAAUAAAAGGAUAUGCAGCA
rnacentral:lncRNA from 1 species